rnacentral:rRNA from 1 species
GUUUGAGGAGCAAACAGGGUUUGAUAUCGGGGUAGUGCGAUUAGUUACACCUGUCAGCUAGGCAACGGGAGUCUUGAACUAUUAUAGCAGCAGUUAACGCCAUUAAGUUGAGGGCCAGGGGAGUACGGCGUCAUCCCCACCUUCCAAAGGAAUGUCCGGGGCCGUGCCCAAGGGGUGGACCACGUGGUUUAAUGGGAAGUAAGGACAAGGGCCGUGCCAGGCCCGGGCAUUCAAUCAACUUUCCAGGGCAGGAUCGGAGCACUCGGGAACAGCAGACAGGCAAUGUUUGGGAAGGUCAGGACCAUCUUGAGAAAGUUCAUUAAAUGUCAAGGCGAGUAAGGUUCUUGUCGUUAGUUAGAAGCAAGUCACGGGGUGCACCGAAGGAGGGGCCCGGUGACAAACCGGAGGAAGGUGGGGAUGCGUCAAGUUAUCC